UACAGAGGUCUCAAGCGUUGUUCGGAUUCAUUGGGCGUAAAGGGUGUGUAGGUGGCGCCGUAAGUCGGGUGUGAAAUUUCGGAGCUUAACUCCGAAACUGCAUUCGAUACUGCGGUGCUUGAGGACUGGAGAGGAGACUGGAAUUUACGGUGUAGCAGUGAAAUGCGUAGAUAUCGUAAGGAAGACCAGUGGCGAAGGCGGGUCUCUGGACAGUUCCUGACACUGAGACACGAAGGCCAGGGGGAGCAAAACGGG
rnacentral:rRNA from 1 species